UACGUAGGGUGCGAGCGUUAAUCGGAAUUACUGGGCGUAAAGCGUGCGUAGGCGGUUGGCAAAGUCAGCUGUGAAAGCCCCGGGCUUAACCUGGGAAUGGCGGUUGAAACUAGUCGACUUGAAUCUGGCAGAGGGGGGUGGAAUUCCGCGUGUAGCAGUGAAAUGCGUAGAGAUGCGGAGGAACACCGAUGGCGAAGGCAGCCCCCUGGGCUAACACUGACGCUCAGGCACGAAAGCGUGGGGAGCAAACAGG
rnacentral:rRNA from 1 species